rnacentral:rRNA from 1 species
AUUGAACGCUGGCGGCAGGCCUAACACAUGCAAGUCGAGCGGAUGAAGGGAGCUUGCUCCUGGAUUCAGCGGCGGACGGGUGAGUAAUGCCUAGGAAUCUGCCUGGUAGUGGGGGAUAACGUCCGGAAACGGGCGCUAAUACCGCAUACGUCCUGAGGGAGAAAGUGGGGGAUCUUCGGACCUCACGCUAUCAGAUGAGCCUAGGUCGGAUUAGCUAGUUGGUGGGGUAAAGGCCUACCAAGGCGACGAUCCGUAACUGGUCUGAGAGGAUGAUCAGUCACACUGGACCUGAGACGCGGUCCAGCCUCCUACGGGAGGCAGCGGUGGGGAAUAUUGGACAAUGGGCGAAAGCCUGAUCCAGCCAUGCCGCGUGUGUGAAGAAGGUCUUCGGAUUGUAAAGCACUUUAAGUUGGGAGUAAGGGCAGUAAGUUAAUACCUUGCUGUUUUGACGUUACCAACAGAAUAAGCACCGGCUAACUUCGU